GACGAACGCUGGCGGCGUGCUUAACACAUGCAAGUCGAACGAAGUGGCGAACGGGUGAGUAAUACGUGGGUAACCUGCCCUCUUUUUUGGGCUAAGCCUUGGAAACGGGGUCUAAUACCGAAUAAAGGGGGAUGGGCCCGCGGCCUAUCAGCUUGUUGGUGGGGUGAUGGCCUACCAAGGCGGUGACGGGUCGCCGGCCUGAGAGGGUGACCGGGCACAUUGGAACUGAGAUACGGCCCAGACUCCUACGGGAAGCAGCAGUGGGGGAGAUUGCAGAAUGGGCGAAAGCCUGAUGCAGCGACGCCGCGUGGGAGAUGAAGGCUUUCGGGUUGUAAACCUCUUACGCUAUCGAACGGGUAGGUUGAGAAGGAGCGCCGGCUAACUACGUGCCAGCGGCCGCGGUAAUUC
rnacentral:rRNA from 1 species